rnacentral:lncRNA from 1 species
AUCCUCCCGCGUCCUCCCGGGCUCGCGCCGCUGUCACUGGAGCCCGCAUCCUCCGCCUCCCGCCGCCGCCGCGACCCCGCACCGGGAAUCAAGCCGGCGCGGAAAACCGCAAGAGCUCGCCGCCUUAGGACUGCCACUCCACCCAGGCCUCCUUCUCCUGGGACCCCCCUGGGCCCCACCCCCAGGACCUCCCACCUCUGCACGCCCUGAGUUCGCUUUUCCCAAUGCACUGGGCAGCUUGACUCCACGCCCACCUGACUGGACUGAGAAAACCGAAGAAGUUGGUGAGGGUACAGCAAUAAAUAGCAGGAGGAGCAGAAUUUGAAACAGCAGCAUGCCGGUCCUGCGCCUGGUGAAGGAUGACUCGCCAGAAAGCAAAGGCGCAGACCUACCUCCGCGAGCUUGGCGCGUGGCCCAGGAGGCUCCGCGAGCCCUUUUUCCAGGGAAACGAGAUUUGGAGCUGCUGCGCGUUGCAGAGCUGCCUCUCUGCUCCCCACAUGGGACCCCUGUGGCUGGCUGGUCUUGAGGAGGAAGGAAUUGAAGCCACCUCAUCCUUGAAGGAGAAUCAGAGAGAUGAUUGAUUCUCCAUGCCUGGCCUCUUUUGUUCCACGUAUGUUUGUGAAGUGUGUCCAUGACGCUGUACACAGCGAUAGCUCACUCAUUGCUGAUAAUGAAGCCCAGCAGCUUACCCAUUUCACUGCAGUAAACAACAUAUUGCUUCUUGUUUGUGUGUCCUGAAUCACGGAGACAUGCAGUUGAGUAACCUGGGGGUGAAAUCGCCCUGUCUGAUUAAUACCAUCUUUGUUUUUAUUUGCCUGUUUCCCGUUGAGGUGAAAUUUAUGUACAAUAAGAACCAUUGAUUUUUUAGCUGUACACUUCCAUGAGUUUGGACAGUUGUCUACAUUUAUACAAACGACCACCUCUGGACUCACUGCUGUUCCAGCUUCUGCAAAUGCUAAGCUCAGCGUUUCCCCACACCAGGUCCGUGUGCUAAAGGUUUUAUUACAGUAUUUCCUAUGCAUGGUUGCAUGCAGUGGACAAUCUUGUCUGCCUGGUUUCAGUGCCUUUCAGACUUGUCCAAACUCUUGCAAGAAUCGAUUGAAUGUACUUAUUGCUGAAUAGAAUUCUAGUAAAAAGUGUUUCUCCAUUCACGACA